rnacentral:tRNA from 1 species
GGUGGCUCCGUGGUAAAGCGCUUGCCUUGCAUGCAGGAGGCCCUGGGUUCGAAUCCUCAGCACCA